rnacentral:rRNA from 1 species
AUACAGAGGGUGCGAGCGUUAAUCGGAUUUACUGGGCGUAAAGCGUGCGUAGGCGGCUUCUUAAGUCGGAUGUGAAAUCCCUGAGCUUAACUUAGGAAUUGCAUUCGAUACUGGGAAGCUAGAGUAUGGGAGAGGAUGGUAGAAUUCCAGGUGUAGCGGUGAAAUGCGUAGAGAUCUGGAGGAAUACCGAUGGCGAAGGCAGCCAUCUGGCCUAAUACUGACGCUGAGGUACGAAAGCAUGGGGAGCAAACAGGAUUAGAAACCCGAGUAGUCC